rnacentral:rRNA from 1 species
UACGUAGGGUGCGAGCGUUAAUCGGAAUUACUGGGCGUAAAGCGUGCGCAGGCGGUUUUGUAAGCCAGAUGUGAAAUCCCCGGGCUUAACCUGGGAAUGGCAUUUGGGACUGCAAGGCUUGAGUGCGGCAGAGGAGACUGGAAUUCCAGGUGUAGCGGUGAAAUGCGUAGAUAUCUGGAGGAACACCGGUGGCGAAGGCGGCAUCCUGGACCGAGAUUGACG